UCUUCAGCUGCCUACCCCCUGUCCAUUUUUUCACGGUGACCUCCCUUCUCUCCUCACCAUCCUCCUCUCUCCCUUCCCUCCUCUUCUUCCGUUGCUCCAUCCUCCUCUCUCACUUCUCUGACCAACCACCAGCCGCCGGAAGCAGCAGCUUCCAGGCGCCACCGCCCCUUCUCCCUCUUUCUCUCCUCUUCACCUCUCUCCCCCUCCCGUCUCUUCUCUUCCCCUUCUUCUUCUCUUUUCUUUUGCAGGAAAGCAGCAGCACCCAGGCAAUUCCGGCCAGCUGCUGCGACAAGCAGCAACUCUGGCGCUUUCUGUCCCUCUCUCUUUUCCGGCAGAAUCCCAGGCCAGCAGCAGCUCCAGACAGCAACGCGGACGAUGAACAACCAACAACAAGAUCAACCUCAGGCGAAAGAUAGAAACUCCGGCAAAUAGUAGCAACCAAAAGCUACCCAACUAUGAGUUCCGAUGAAUCCACAAAGUAUUUCAAUAAGGACAGAUCUAUUAGGUCUUCCCAGGUUAUGAACUUAGAGUUCAAGAUGUUGAAGAGUCACCUAGAAGAAAUUGUGGAGGAAGCUUUAUCCAUUUUAAUGCUAUUGGUUCUUUAUUUUUGCUUGUAAUAUUUGUGCAACUCUUUAACUUUAUAUAUAUAAAAUAAAUUUGGGCGA